rnacentral:rRNA from 1 species
AACGAACGCUGGCGGCAUGCCAACACAUGCAAGUCGAACGAGACCUUCGGGUCUAGUGGCGCACGGGUGCGUAACGCGUGGGAACCUGCCUUUAGGUUCGGAAUAACUCAGAGAAAUUUGAGCUAAUACCGGAUGAUGUCUUCGGACCAAAGAUUUAUCGCCUUUAGAUGGGCCCGCGUUGGAUUAGCUAGUUGGUGGGGUAAAGGCCUACCAAGGCGACGAUCCAUAGCUGGUCUGAGAGGAUGAUCAGCCACACUGGGACUGAGACACGGCCCAGACUCCUACGGGAGGCAGCAGUGGAGAAUAUUGGACAAUGGGCGAAAGCCUGAUCCAGCAAUGCCGCGUGAGUGAUGAAGGCCUUAGGGUUGUAAAGCUCUUUUACCCGAGAUGAUAAUGACAGUAUCGGGAGAAUAAGCUCCGGCUAACUCCGUG